UCCUGGUUAGUUCAGUUGGUAGAGCGCUCCACUGGAAAUGCGGAGGUCUCUAGUCCGAUACCAGAACCAGGCG
rnacentral:tRNA from 2 species